CCAACUUCAUCUCUACAUAUCAAUAAGCUUACAGUCAACAAUCACUGAUCCCUAGUUUCACAAAACAAACACGUCAAAUCUAAACCGACCAGCAUACAUUUAAGUACAAGAUUCCAACCUAAACUAGGGGUUGAAUUUCACACUUUUUUUAAUGUUAACAAGUACUGUUGGAUACCAUCACAUAAAAAGUUGCGUCUUUGAUUAAAUAUGUCAAAUAGGAACCGGCACAAAUUGAACAAAACGAAAAACAUUUAUCAUGGCUUGGAACCCCAUAUAGCAUUAAAAAAAAGGGUCAAAAUUGAGUAGAUAUAUUAACCAACUAAAGUUAGAGCUUUCAGCGGUCACCUUGGAAGAUAAUUUUCUUCAGCCCGAAACUCUUUGAUCAAAGAUACACCGGGUAGCAUUUACCUCACACUACUAUAUUGACUAUCUUUUAUAACAUUUCAGCCCAUAACUCUUUGAUCAAAAUUGACUAUCUUUUAUAACAUUUCUGAAGCAAUCUUUAGAAAUAAAGAACAAUUUUACUAGCAAAAUAUGGAGAUAGACAAAAAGACUUUUUGGGGGGAGAAGUGAGGGGGAGCCGCUUGGAGAUACGGGGAAGCCACAUUCUUGCCUUGAGAAAGUCUGAUUGCAGACCAGUAAAGGGAAGCUAUGGAGCUUGUUUUACAAUUAUUAAUUAGCGCUUCUUCUUGCCUCCCUUUGCAGCACUUUUAGAUGGGGUUGCAAGCAGGCAGAUGAACAAUACCACGAUUGAGAUCACAGAAAUCAAUGACCCAUACUUUGCCAAUAACCUCUGCGAAUAGUAAAAGAUUUAAAGAGUAAGAUGAAAAGGUUCUGUAUGAGCAAGUACAAUCUUUGAAGACCUCAAAUCAGAAGCCGCGCUGAAACCAAAUAGAAAGACUACUGCUACAUAGGUCAAACAUGGAGAAAGAAUAUCAUAAGGGAAUGUUUAAUUGGUUCUAAAUCAAACUCCUAAAAACCAAUUUUGGCAAGAAAGAGCUCUCUAAAUGUCGUUAGAAAUCUUUAUGUAUGAUGAAACCCACAAACCAUGAUCAGGAGAAGAUCCAUCAAAUAUAAAUCACCUUAUGCCAUCUAUCACAUCCAUACAUACUUUUCAAACACCAAGCAUUUUUUCCAUUCACCCAAACAAAAGACAUAAACACGCCUCCACCCAAACAAAAGAGAUGAACACAAAAAAAUAUAAUAAUUAGAGGAGAAUGGGAACAACAUCAACUAUCUGCAAAUUGAGUCCCAAAAUUAACAAGUUACGGGUAUUAAGUUGAACCAUACCUUAGCCUGAAAUAAUUUGGGCACCAUGAUACAAGAUGUACAUGCAUAAACACAACAGAACUUCUUAGUGAACCGAGGAUAAUGUUUCCAAGAAGCUGAUCAAUAUAUAAAUUAUUAUAAGAAAUUACCCAGUCAAAUUUCUUCUCAGGAGGUCUAUCAGCUAGGAGAUCAAUAGGCAAGAGUGGAGUUGAAUAUGCUUCCU
rnacentral:lncRNA from 1 species